GUUCAGAAUUUCCCGUACAGGAUUGUCUGAUCCUGCACGGCUGUUGACCAAUCAAAUUGCGUGUUUCACUGUAGUUAUUAUAUAAAAGUAAAUAAUAUAUCAAUUCAACUUUCGAACUUUUUUGAAUUGAAACGUACUCUAGUUUAUAUUCAUUUACAAUUGCGAACCAGAAAAGUAUUAGAUAUUCAGUUAGUAUGUCUUAUUUUACAAAUAUAGCAGUUCAAAAUGUAAACAAAGGAUUUGUUUACAUUACGGACUUGACAUGGUCUUUAAAUUUUAUG